rnacentral:rRNA from 1 species
GACGAACGCUGGCGGCGUGCCUAAUACAUGCAAGUCGAGCGGAUUGAUGGGAGCUUGCUCCUUGAUAUCAGCGGCGGACGGGUGAGUAACACGUGGGCAACCUGCCUAUAAGACUGGGAUAACUUCGGGAAACCGGAGCUAAUACCGGAUAAUCCCUUUCCUCUCAUGAGGAAAGGCUGAAAGAUGGUUUACGCUAUCACUUAUAGAUGGGCCCGCGGCGCAUGAGCUAGUUGGUGAGGUAACGGCCCACUAAGGCAACGAUGCGUAGCCGACCUGAGAGGGUGAUCGGCCACACUGGGACUGAGACACGGCCCAGACUCCUACGGGAGGCAGCAGUAGGGAAUCUUCCGCCAUGGACGAAAGUCUGACGGAGCAACGCCGCGUGAGUGAUGAAGGUUUUCGGAUCGUAAAACUCUGUUGUUAGGGAAGAACAAGUACGAGAGUAACUGCUCGUACCUUGACGGUACCUAACCAGAAAGCCACGGCUAACUACGUGCCAGCAGCCGCGGUAA